AAGAUGUUUUGUUGCAAUUGAUGAGAAAGGUGCUGUCCAAGGAACAAUCCUUGGUGGUUCCAAAUGGGAAGGGAAUGGUGACAGAGCCACACUUUGUUGGGCAGUUUGGUAGUGAUAGUAACUGAGUUGCUGCUUUUGUGAAAAAGACCGUAACAACCACCAUCAUCAGUAGAUGCGUUGAGUGCGCAGCCAUGGUCAUGGCUUUGCUAAUUUUUCAGAUCUUAAUUACAUCAUAUAAGUAGAAUAGGUCAGAAGACAACAGUGGAUGCUUGUGAAGAGGGAUCAUCUUCAUCUUAUAGGAAACUUGAUACGAUGACCCAACCGAAAGUGACGCAACAUUAUUUCUUUAUGGAGGGAAGGAACAAAUUAUGACAGCAAAGACAAUGGAAGUUGACUCAAUGCUACUUGUCCCAAGAGCUUCCAUAAGAAGUACUGGAUUUCAGACUACAUUUUGUUCCAUUCAUCUUCCCAUUUCCCUCAUAUUCUGCUGGACAUAAACAAUGGUAGCUUCCUGGAAGAUUGAUGCAUGUUGCUCCCUCAACACAGUCAUUGGACUCCACACAUUCAUUUAUAUCUAGA